rnacentral:rRNA from 1 species
UUCCAGACUCCUACGGGAGGCAGCAGUAGGGAAUCUUCGGCAAUGGGGGGAACCCUGACCGAGCAACGCCGCGUGAGUGAAGAAGGUUUUCGGAUCGUAAAGCUCUGUUGUAAGAGAAGAACGGGUGUGAGAGUGGAAAGUUCACACUGUGACGGUAUCUUACCAGAAAGGGACGGCUAACUACGUGCCAGCAGCCGCGGUAAUACGUAGGUCCCGAGCGUUGUCCGGAUUUAUUGGGCGUAAAGCGAGCGCAGGCGGUUAGAUAAGUCUGAAGUUAAAGGCUGUGGCUUAACCAUAGUAUGCUUUGGAAACUGUUUAACUUGAGUGCAGAAGGGGAGAGUGGAAUUCCAUGUGUAGCGGUGAAAUGCGUAGAUAUAUGGAGGAACACCGGUGGCGAAAGCGGCUCUCUGGUCUGUAACUGACGCUGAGGCUCGAAAGCGUGGGGAGCAAACAGGAUUAGAUACCCUGGUAGUCCACGCCGUAAACGAUGAGUGCUAGGUGUUAGGCCCUUUCCGGGGCUUAGUGCCGCAGCUAACGCAUUAAGCACUCCGCCUGGGGAGUACGACCGCAAGGUUGAAACUCAAAGGAAUUGACGGGGGCCCGCACAAG